rnacentral:rRNA from 1 species
UACGAAGGGGGCUAGCGUUGUUCGGAAUUACUGGGCGUAAAGCGUGCGCAGGCGGCUCCUCAAGUCAGGGGUGAAAGCCCAGAGCUCAACUCUGGAACUGCCUUUGAGACUGAGAGGCUUGAGUACGGGAGAGGUGAGUGGAAUUCCCAGUGUAGAGGUGAAAUUCGUAGAUAUUGGGAAGAACACCGGUGGCGAAGGCGGCUCACUGGCCCGAAACUGACGCUCAUGCACGACAGCGUGGGGAUCAAACAGG